AUUGAACGCUGGCGGCAGGCCUAACACAUGCAAGUCGAACGGUAACAGGAAACAGCUUGCUGUUUCGCUGACGAGUGGCGGACGGGUGAGUAAUGUCUGGGAAACUGCCUGAUGGAGGGGGAUAACUACUGGAAACGUUAGCUAAUACCGCAUAACGUCGCAAGACCAAAGAGGGGGACCCUCGGGCCUCUUGCCAUCGGAUGUGCCCAGAUGGGAUUAGCUUGUUGGUGGGGUAACGGCUCACCAAGGCGACGAUCCCUAGCUGGUCUGAGAGGAUGACCAGCCACACUGGAACUGAGACACGGUCCAGACUCCUACGGGAGGCAGCAGUGGGGAAUAUUGCACAAUGGGCGCAAGCCUGAUGCAGCCAUGCCGCGUGUAUGAAGAAGGCCUUCGGGUUGUAAAGUACUUUCAGCGGGGAGGAAGGGAGUAAAGUUAAUACCUUUGCUCAUUGACGUUACCCGCAGAAGAAGCACCGGCUAACUCCGUG
rnacentral:rRNA from 1 species